rnacentral:misc_RNA from 1 species
AGUCGUAACAAGGUCUCCGUUGGUGAACCAGCGGAGGGAUCAUUAUUCUCUUAAAAAUAAUAAUUCUUGCUUUUAAAAUCCUAAUUGCAUUUAUGCUUUUAGGUGUAAAUCUUUGAUUUACGAUAGUCCUUUGGACUUUAAAUAUUUAAACUUGCGAAGUUAAUUUAACGAUAAAAAUUUAAAAAGUUUUAGAAGUAAUUCUAAAAACUUGAAAAAUUAAAAAUAUAAAUAUAACUUUCGACAAUGGAUACCUCGGUUUUCC